rnacentral:lncRNA from 1 species
GGCCGGGCAGUGCAGACAGGACAGGCCGGGCAGUGCGGACAGGACAGGCCGGGCAGUGCAGACAGGACAGGCCGGGCAGUGCGGGAGGCGUGGCCUUGGCGAACCCUCGGGAAAGGGUUGGCAGAAUACGUCUCUGACGCUCUGUUCGCCCCCGACUCAUUCCAGGCUUAAAUGAAGACAGAAUCUGACUACAAGCGAGCGCAAAUCUCCUGGGUGUCUCUGGGCAAGGGAAACCUGAAAAACCCCAAAUGGCACCAAAGAUUGGUCAUGAACAGCUGGAACUGGCCAGUGGAAUAGGCCAGGAACAGGGCAAACUCCACCACUUUUUCGCUGUUCUUUCCCCUUUCCUUUGCUUUUUACAUGCCAAUAAUACUCAUUUCGCAGAACAGAUCGCAGGCUGAAGCAACACAUCACCGUAAUGUCCCAUCACGCACUCUGAAACGCCAUAGUUGCAGACUACUCUCUGCCAUUCCCAAGAACACAUCAAAGCUCUUCAAGGAGGGAUUUCUUUCUUCUGUGUUGGAGCUGGUGCUGCUGCCAUCGUGGACUCUCUGAACUCCCUAGAGGUGCAGAGGAGCUGCAGAAAUGAUAGAGUGCAAUGACUGGCCUCUGUCUGUGCCAACCCAAAGCUGAGGAAAAAGAGGACAACACAGGAGGUCUGCAGAGGUACAGCAGGCUAAGGUAAACACCUUAGACCGGUGAGUUUGAGAAGCAGUUACAUUGCAAAUGCUCAGGAGGUGCAGUGAACAGGCAAGUGUGAACUCACUCCUUGCAAGAUAGAUUUGCUGGUUGAUAUGUUAGCCUCUGUGCUGGGGCUGUAGGAGGUAAGAAGAACUAAAGAGCAAACAGCCCAAGUGGUAAAUGAAAAAAUACAUUGGGGCACUCGCAAUUCAAACACAUUGCCACCAAAAAGUGCCAAUAUGGAAAAAUAAGACAUUAAGAAGCACUGUUGCAGAGGAAACAUUUUAUAUGAGCAGGGAACUAUCACAGUUGCUAUGUCUAAAUAACAAGAUUUACCUUCCUUUCAGUUUCAAUAUUAUCUAGUGGGCAAAAUGAAUCAAACUGCAUUUCAGGGUCAAGGGAUCCCUUGCCACAGACAGUACCCACAGGGAAGAGGAGUGUGUUGCGCAAUGCAGAGCACAAAGUAGAAGCAACUGACAUGGGGAAAAUCUGCCCCUAGACAAAAGCCUUUACUGAGCCAGUGCAUCUCAAGUUGAAACUCUGGGGGCACAUGAGUUC